rnacentral:lncRNA from 1 species
GGGGAGCAGGCAGGGCAGGUGGCCACAUCCUGCAAAGGACACCGGCCACCAGGCCCGCAGGCCGCACACACCGUUCACAUUUUCAAGCGAAGCGCAGAAAUGCCGGGAGCUGGGGAGUCAGUAACCUCCGCCUGGGCUCAAGCAGGCCGCCUAUGUUUCGGAAAUGAGCUGGAAGCCAUUUGAGAAAUGCUAGGACAAACAGCAUCCCCCCAACAUCACUUCUGGCACCGAGCUGGGGAGCCCGGAGAGUCUCCAGUCACUACAGAACACAGUCCUGGAGAAGGAAAUUCCUUGUCAGGAACAUCUCAGGCUACACGGUUCUGCAGAACAAAAUUCGGAGAAGUAUUUUAACCCCAAGAAUCUGCUGAUGGCUGGGACCCUGGGGUCUGAGGCUGGCAUGUGGACGGGAAGAGGGGGGCCCUUAGGAAGGGGGACCAACCUGUGUGGACCACCCACAGCAACACCCGCCAGUGACCCCUAAUGAGACCCAGCCCCCAGCCGGGCACUGAGCUGUACACCAAUGGUCAGCCCAAGAAGGGGGGAAACUGAGGGACAGGGUGUGAGGUCCUUUCAAGGUCACACAGCCAGAAAGGGUCAGGAAGACACGCCCACAGCUCCUGCCUCCCACACAUCCCUUCAACAAACCUGAGGACUCCAGGAGGAAGCACCAUGUCCGUGGAACCACCCAGAAGGUGUGGCCCAGCCCGGCUGGACAAGGGGUCCCCAGCCUGCCGCCUCCUCCCUCCAGGCACCGGGCAGGGGUAGGGGGCACUGGCAAGCAGGAUGGGCUGAGGAGAGAGGCGCGGGCCAGCCCACGCUGUCUGGACAUCUCCGUCUGAGCUCAUGCCUGCGAACGGGCAGCACACUCCUCCCAUUUCCAGGGAACUGGCCAGACGCCCUCGGUCCAGCCAGCCGGGCCCCAGAGGACACGAGAGGAUUUAGGGCCGGGCGGGUGGUGCGUGCCACUACUCCAACAGAUCUCAAGGAGGCUCCAAGCGCAGGUGAGAAGGCUCGGUGCCCCUCCACCCACCCACUCUGCUCAGAAAGGUACUGUGUUGCUCACUAUGGGAACUUCGGAGGACACUAAGCAGUGGAAAGAAGGGUCACCUGCCACCACCCACAACCCAGAGACACCUGCUUGCGCAGGUUUUCUGUGCCUCCGGGGAAGAAGGGGCUCUGACCCCACCAGCGCCCCCCACCCCUGCCGUCUCCCCAGACGAUGAGCCCUCUGAUGAAGCAGGUGUGGCA